ensembl:lncRNA
GUAUCUUCUGAACAGCCUAUGGGAAAAGUAAAACUGUAAUGAGUGGAUGGAAGUGCCAUUUGGGGGCACUGUAGUGAUGCAGAAUGUUAAAGUGGGGGAGGGUUAUUCUCUUAUUUCCAGGUACAAGCAUGAUGUGCAGGCUCAUUCCUUGGCAGGCAGCUCACUGGUUACUUUGGAGGCAGGCCCAGAAGGCUCUUCUAUUAACACACUACUUUCCAUUAAUUUUGGAACUAUUUUGCACUCUUUUGCUAAAUGCCUUGUUCUCUUCCUGUGUUCCCUCCCCCUACAAACACAGGUAUGGCACACAAAAAGGCUAAUCUCUGCUUCUCGGUCCCAGGUAGAUGACACAUCAAAGCUACCGAAGGCUCUAUGCCUCUGACUGGAAAAUGGGGAUAUCCAAACWGUCUGUCAAAAACUGAUGAACAACUGAAGAUUCCGGGUUGUGCUACUGUUGAGGCAGUAACAGAUACUGCUGCAACAGUCAGAACUGCAGCCACAGUGGCUACCCCUGGACUGGAAAUGCUGAAGUGUUGUUGUAGCAUAGCUUGGAGGUGGUGGCUUCCAUUACUACAGUUGUGCAGAAUACUUUAUUGUUGUUACAGCCUACUAAACUGAAUCUGAGGAACCACUGAAGCAAGGAGGUUGGAAGGAACCCAUGGAGGUUUUGAGUCCAACUGCCUGCUCAGAGCAGCUCCAAUCGGAGCAGGUUGCUCCAGUCCGUGUCCAGUUGGGUCUGGGCAUCUCUGAGGAUGGAGACUCCAUAGCCUCUCUGAGAACCUGCUCCAGUGUUCGACCACCCUCGCAGCAAAAAUAUUUUUUCUUAUAUCGAGUUGGACUCUCCCUGUUCCAACCUGUGUCUGUUGCCUCUUGUCCUAGAGGAUGGGACUUGGACUUGGGACACUUCAUGGAACAGCAUCAGGAGCCUGGACAUUCAUGGCACAGUGUUGCACUUUCUCCUGGACAUUGUGGUCGCAGGAGGCGGAUGCGGAGAGCCAAAGGCAGCUGGGGAAUGGGAGCCUUGUCCCUGUGAGUGCAUGGUGGUGGGAGAAGGAUUGUGCCCCCAGCAUGUGAUCAGGAGUGCAAGGGCUAAAGCUCAUAAUCUGUCUCUCCCCUCUCCUGGUCACAUGGGGACUGCACUGGCCCCUGCUGCAGAUCAACCUGGCAAAGUGCUCGAACACUAAAGUGAGGGGCUGCAAUAUUAAAGAGAUUAAUGUGUAAAGAAGUCAUGUUUUAAAAAAAACCAAAAAAACAAAAAACAAAGCCCAUGCUUUCCUUUGACUGGAGUGUAAUAGGAAAUGCUUGUCUAUCCCAGUAGAGUUAGUAAUCCUGCACGUACAGAGGGCGCAAAAAAGUAGUGAGUCUAUUAGAAAUAGUACUAAGUGCAUUCAUUCUAACCUCAUUUCUUUUCAUAAAUAUAUAUACACACACACACGCACACACACACACAUUAAUAGACUUCUGAUAAAUGAAUCCUCAUGUGCAGCAUUUCAGAAAGCAUCUAGCUCUGGAGAACUCUGGGGGAAACACCUACAAAGUGUGGCAAAAACAGGCUAUUUAGAGCUUGUAGAGGUACUUUCAACAGUGUUAGUGCUGAAAAUAUUACAGGGAAUGUGAGUAAUGGAUAUGAAAAUGCGGUAUUCUAUUGUAGAAGAUGUCCUGGAGAAAGCAAUAUGUGAUUAUGGAGUCUGAAGGAUCUUUCUUUUUGUGUGAGUCUUAAUGUGAAAUCUUUGUGUUGUUCGAGUCAGUGGGCAAAGGCUGUAUAAUGCAUUCUGAAGGGGGAGGGGGGCACAGAACAAAUAUAUUGUUUAUUGACAUUGUCUUUCAUUAGAAGACUAUGUAUAUCUCUGCAGAUAAUCUUUUAGAUAAUAAGGGCUAGAUCUGCGAAG